rnacentral:tRNA from 1 species
UCCUCUAUAGCUCAGUUGGUAGAGCGUCGCGCUGUUAACGCGAAUGUCCUUGGUUCGAGUCCAAGUGGAGGAG